UACGAAGGGGGCUAGCGUUGCUCGGAAUCACUGGGCGUAAAGGGUGCGUAGGCGGGGUCUUUUUUUUUUUUUUUAAGUCAGGGGUGAAAUCCUGGAGCUCAACUCCAGAACUGCCUUUGAUACUGAGGAUCUUGAGUUCGGGAGAGGUGAGUGGAACUGCGAGUGUAGAGGUGAAAAUUCGUAGAUAUCCGCAAAGAACACCAGUGGCGAAGGCGCUCACUGGCC
rnacentral:rRNA from 1 species